CAACCACGCCCCCGUCCUGGUAGAGAUCGUGGAGCAGGACGGGUGGAAGCUCAUCGCCGAGGACGUCAUCGGGCAGCCCGUACACUUGGAACGACUCAAGAGGAUCACAGCAAACGGUGUUCAGAUGGUGGCCGUCUGCAGGCGCGACGUGCCAGAUACCCAGGGCGCCAACAGCUGCGCGAACAUCUCAUGCAACGAGUCAGUCGACCAGGCAGGCGACAUCUGCUGCGUGGAGUGUUUGUUCGGGGUCUAGCUUUUUGGCAACGAAGAUGAGAAGAUGAAGACGAGGAGCCCCAAUCUCCUCCGCAGGAUUCGGACGACGAGGAAGAUUAGAAGAUUCUGCAGAAGCAGCUUUAUUUCCCCCUUUGUUUUUGGUUACUCACAGUUAUGAUGUGCAGUUUGUCCCCCAAUCGGGUGUCCAUAGGAGUAUAGGGCCAUAACUGGGUCAAUUUUUUCCCCAAUUGGGCAAAUUUAGUAGUUGAACCCGUCGGUGUUGUUCGAUUUGAGGCUACAAUUGUGCCAUUUCGUUUUUGGAUCCAAUUCUUCAGUACCUGCUAUUCUGCUUAGCCGGUCGGAUUCCGGCGCCAGCCCUUCCCGGCUUCCGGCGCGCUGCAGUGUCGGUGCUCCCUCCCACGGUGGAGCACCGCGCCGACCACCAUGCUCGCGGGGCGCGCGCAGCGCGCAGGAUCCACCCGGCUCCUUUGCCGAUGGCCUGGCAAAGGCGGUGGGUGAAGCGGCGGCGCUGUGGUCCAAUGGCGACGAGCAGCACGCCAUCCGGCUCGGUGGGACAACGGCGACGGGCGCCUGCCCGAUUGCAGGUGCGGAGGCGGCGCAGCUUCUUGCUGGCCGUCACACGCUGGCGGUAGCACGCCAGGUGUUUGAGAUAUUGCCUAGGCAGGCCGCAUAACGAUCAUUGGAAAGCUUCUGCAAUAAUGUACCGGAAGAAGAUUUCUACCCUUCACUCUGGUGCUAUAUACAAGGGACGACGGUGAUCUGAAUGUCUCCACUCACCACCCAAAGUGAGCUGCUGGAACACCUCAAGUUCCAGUUUCUGAAGAAUCAAAUCCUUGGUGACCAUCUCGUUUCAGCAACUGUCCAUGAAUUUGAUUCAACCUCCAUUAUUUUCCAUAAGGAAUUUGAAUUAAUUGAGUUGGCACUUGCCCCAUUUCUCAACCACUUUCAACACAGCAGUUUCACAGCUGGACAGCUCGGGGUUAUGGAAUUCAUCAGGCAUUAUCAAUUUUUCUUGGUUGUGGCAUAAUUUUUCCGAUGACCAGCAUAUGGCAUGGACAAAUGAUAUAGGCUCUGUUUCUCUUGAUGCUUGCACACACUUAUUUUGUAUUGCCAUACGCUUGUUCCAUAUGUAGCAAUAUAGAGACAAGAUUGAAGGAAAUAAAUUGAAUCUAGAAGCGUUCAUUGAAGAAAAGGCGGUUCAUGCCAACCGACCCUUUGUUGUAUCCAACGGCCAAUGUGACCACUGUAUGAGUACUUGGGGGAUCAUCUUAUCUUGUUGUUGAUGGAGGCGACGAUCCAGUAUAAAUUGAGGGACCUGCAGCUCAUGGGAUAAGUCAGGUAUUUCAGAACAUACCAGCGUGGAGUGAUGGACAGCCUUCUUCAAUAGUAAGACAUGAAACACUGGGUGAACAGUGCAUCCAUCAGGUAGUUUCAGUUUAUAUGCCACUUCACCAAUUUUGUCUAUAAUCUGGUAUGGCCCAAAGUAUCUGAAAGAUAGAUUGUUAGAUGACCGAGCUGCCAAAGAAGUCUGGACAUAUGGCUUGACCUUGAGAUAGACAUAUUCUCCCAGUUCAAAUGUUCUAUCUGUUCUGUUCUUGUCAGCUUGCUCCUUCAUAUGUUUUUGAGCUCUGAGGAGAUGCUGGUGUAAGAGUUGCUGCAUCAGUGCCUUGUCUUUUAACCAUUGUUGCAAAUCAGGUAUCUGUCAAUGUUCCACACCAUCUAUGCCCAACUGCCUUGGCUCAUGUCCAUACAGAACCACAAAAGGAGAACUGUCCAGUGUAGAAUGAUAUGAAGUAUUAUACCAAAAUUCUGCCAGAGAUAGCCACUAAGACCAUUUUGUAGGGCAAGCAUGAACAAAGCAUCUUAAAUAAGUUUCCAAGUACUGAUUUACUUUUUCUGUUUGCCCAUCUGUUUUUGGGUGAUAGGCACUGCUCAGGUUUAGAUCUGUGCCAACCAACUUAAAUAACUCUUGCCAAACAGUACUAGUGAAUAUUUUAUCUCUAUCAGAGAUUAAAGCAGCUGGCAAACCAUGUAACUUGAAAACAUUGUUCCUGGUUUGAAGAUGCAAAAGGGUUAUUUUAAAUCCUAGAUUUGUAGUUGCAGAGCUCCCCAUUUUGCUUAGAAAUUUAAUUUUAUUGCUCUGGUAGUACAAGAAGUAAGGAUUCCUGUUAUGUGAAGAUCGUGAUUACUUUGAUGUAGCUAUGGGAUCCUCUUAUUCCUUUCUGAAAAAAGACCAAUUAUAACUGAAAGAAGUAUAGUGAAAUAUUUUUAGAAAUACCAAUUUUGCAGACUGGGAAUACAAUUUUGCAAAAAUCUUACUUUGAAUUAGUUUUAUGAAUGUAAACUCAUGCCUUCAUUUGCCUCCUGCUCUUUCUUGUUUUAGAUUUUAGUGAAGUUGAUGUGCCCUACCAUGGAGUCUCAUAUAGUAGUUAAUCCUUUUAUUCCCAAUUCAAUGAGAUUUCCAACAUGAUUUCUUCUUAUAGCAUAGCAUAUUUUAUAGACUCUAUAAUCAAUAAAUGUUUCUAUCACUGUGUUGCGGUGACAAUGUACUGACUCUUGUACUUUACGUACAAUUUAACUAUGACAGGAACGUACUCGAAGAGGCUUAUGAAACCCAGUAUUAAGGAGGUUCAGCCCUCUUUGUAUCCAAUCCUAUCACCAUGCAUAAGUUACAACGGCAUUGCCUCCACCAUAUCAAACUUUGUCAAACCUGCCUUGUGUUCUGAAUCCUGCUAUUUCCUUGAAGCAAUUUCUUCGAGACAUCCAGCAUGUUGUUCUCAUGUAUCAACAGUAUUCUUCUGUGAUCGCAGCUGUACCAAAAUGUAUUACUAAGUAGUAGUUUAUAUUUUUUUGCUCCAUAAACUGAAACUGCUUGAAUAUGGCAUACUUUGUGUGCUACUGAUCUUGUUCACUGAAACAGAAACAAGUGGUUCUUCAUGAAGAUAGCAUUUCUCUUUCAGGCAGCAUAAUGAUCUUUGCAAAGCUUCUUCAACAAUGUACCAGAAGAAGAUUCCAAGUUUCCAACCCUUCACUCCAGUGCCAUCUACAAGGGACCACGGUGACCUGAAUGCCUCCACGCACCAUACAAAGUGAGCAGCAGACAGAACACCUCAAGUUGCAGUUUCUCAAGAAACAAAUCCUUAGUGAGCAUCCCGUCUCUGCAACUGACCAGAUUCUUCGCAAUCAAGAAAGGUGAUGCCGUGGUCGGUGCGGGCGACUGCUCAAGAUCUGCCUCGACUUCAUGACUGCACAAACAACAGGAGCCAUUGCAAGAACAAACACACUUGAGAUGUGAUGAGUAGUGAUCCCUCGUGUAUUGUAUAGCCAUGAACUAACGAUAUCAGUGAUCAGUGAUAAUAUAGGAGUAUGCCAUACUGUAUUUCUCAUUCAGUCUGAUGUUCUACUGUGCACCUUUUAUGGCGUAAUACUCUUAA